GCCAGGGUGUCACAGUGGUUUGAGGGUUGGACUCCGACUCUGGAGACCAGGGUUCGAUUCCCAGCUCAGCCC